CGAAAAGCAGUGAUAGAGAGCAGUAGCUUAUGUAGCGUUAUUCAGGGAGAAAAUGCCGUGACUGAAAGCAUUUUUAUAAGCGCAAUAAGUGAAUUCACCUCUUGAGUUGACACUUGGACCAUCAUUUUUGAUGUAAAGGUGUUCCGGAUAUUCCGUUAACGUUAAUGAAGUGAACUGUGCAGAUGCAUGGUUAACAAGGGUGGUAACGCGAUUAAACCUCGUCCCUUUU
rnacentral:ncRNA from 1 species